GGAGGGAUGGCUGAGCGGCCGAAGGCGACGGUCUUGAAAACCGUUGAGGCACUUUGUGUCUCCGUGGGUUCGAAUCCCACUCCCUCCG
rnacentral:tRNA from 1 species